GGUUGCGAUCAUACCAGCACUAAUGCACCGGAUCCCAUCAGAACUCCGCAGUUAAGCGUGCUUGGGCGAGAGUAGUACUAAGAUGGGUGACCCCCUGGGAAGUCCUCGUGUUGCAACCC
rnacentral:rRNA from 1 species